AUUGAACGCUGGCGGCAUGCCUUACACAUGCAAGUCGAACGGCAGCACGGGAGCAAUCCUGGUGGCGAGUGGCGAACGGGUGAGUAAUAUAUCGGAAUGUGCCCAGUAGUGGGGGAUAACUGCUCGAAAGAGCAGCUAAUACCGCAUACGACCUGAGGGUGAAAGGGGGGGAUCGCAAGACCUCUCGCUAUUGGAGCGGCCGAUAUCAGAUUAGCUAGUUGGUGGGGUAAAGGCCUACCAAGGCAACGAUCUGUAGUUGGUCUGAGAGGACGACCAGCCACACUGGGACUGAGACACGGCCCAGGCUCCUACGGGAGGCAGCAGUGGGGAAUUUUGGACAAUGGGCGCAAGCCUGAUCCAGCAAUGCCGCGUGCAGGAAGAAGGCCUUCGGAUUGUAAACUGCUUUUGUCAGGGAAGAAAUCCUCUAGGUUAAUACCCUUGGGGGGAUGACGGUACCUGAAGAAUAAGCACCGGCUAACUACGUGCCAGCCGCCGCGGUAAUAC
rnacentral:rRNA from 1 species